rnacentral:pre_miRNA from 1 species
CCCUUAACUAUUAAAAGUUUCGUUUUGGUCCCUUAACUUAUUUUUUGGUUUCGUUUUGGUCCCUUAACUUAUUUUUUGGUUUCGUUUUGGUCCCUUAACUCUUCCUCCGUCAACCACUUUGGUCCUUUAUGUUAGGAUGAAUGUAUUAGAGUUAAGGACCAAAACGAAAUAAAAAAAAAAAAGUUAAGGGACCAAAACGAAACCAAAAAAUAAGUUAAGGGACCAAAACGAAACUUUUAAUAGUUAAGGGA